AAGUUUUUGAAAGCAUUGUUAUCGUAGUUACCAUCUGUCUUUGGCACCGUUCAUCCUCUAGCCAAGACCGUUCAUUUAAAGAUGUAAUCACGAGACAUUUGGAGAAAAAUCAAGAUGAAAUUGAAACCUGUAAGAGAUUAAGGACUGAAUCAUUAGUCUUUUUUACCCAAAAUUUUUGUGCGGUAGAUGAUUUUGGUCCUACACUGCAACUUUCUCGAUGUUGAGCAGGAAUGGUUCGGUGUUACUCAAAUUCAGUACUCUCCAUUUUUCUCGCUUCUCUUCAAACUUUUUCGGAACUUCAACGACGAGAAAUGACAUUGCCAUAGCUCCAAGAACUUUUGCAAGAAGACCCACUUCGCGUUCUGCCCCAGUCCCUCGCGCUCUGGACACUCUCAGCUCUACCGAUGUCGUCAAUUCAGUAUGUUCUCUACUUUCAAACAAAAAUCACCAAACAACUAAUCUCGAUCUCGAUCUUUUGUUGAAAAGAUUCAAUGAAAACUUAAGUUCGGAUCUCGUUCUUCGAAUUCUGAUGAAUUAUAGGGUGUUGGGUAGGGCUAAAACGUUGGAAUUCUUUUCUUGGUCUGGAUUGCAAAUGGGGUAUCGGUUUGAUGAGUCGGUGGUUGAGUACAUGGCUGAUUUCUUUGGUAGAAGGAAACUGUUUGAUGAUAUGAAGUGUCUUCUGGUGACGGUAUCUUCUCAUAAGGGUCGGCUUUCUUGUCGAACGUUUUCAAUUUGUAUCAGAUUUUUGGGUAGGCAAGGGAGGGUUAGAGAAGCCCUUUGCUUGUUCGAAGAAAUGGAGCCAAAAUUUGGGUGUAAACCUGAUAAUCUUGUCUUUAACAACAUUCUUUAUGCCCUUUGUAAGAAGGAAACAACUGGGGAAUUGAUUGAUACUGCUCUUACAAUUUUCAGAAGAAUCGAAUUGCCUGAUAAAUAUUCAUACAGUAAUAUCAUUAUAGGAUUGUGUAAAUUUGGAAGGUUUCGUACAGCUCUUGAAGUGUUUGAGGAAAUGGAAAGGUUGGGCUCGGUUCCUACUCGAUCUGCAGUGAACAUUCUCAUUGGGGAUUUGUGUUCAUUGAGUGCCAAGGAAGGGGCUAUAGAAAAAGUUAGAGUUAGAAGUACUCGUAGGCCUUUUACCGUUCUAGUUCCAAAUGUGAAUUCGAAGAGCGGUGCCAUUGAACCUGCAGUUGGGGUUUUUUGGGCAGCUAAUAGGAUGGCUUUGGUUCCAAGUUCAUUUGUAAUGGUUCAGCUUAUCUCGGAACUUUGUCGAUUAGGUCAAAUGCAAGAAGCCAUUGAAGUAUUGAAGGUUGUUGAGGAUGGAAAGCUAAGAUGUGGAGAAGAGUGUCACUCCAUUGUGAUGCAAGCACUGUGUGAAAAUCGUCAGGUUGAAGAAGCUAGUGAUCUGUUUGGGAGGAUGCUUUCUCAGGGUAUGAAGCCAAAGUUGGCUGUUUACAAUUCUGUUAUUUGCAUGCUAUGCAAAUUGGGGAAUGUGGUUGAUGCUGAAAGGGUUUUUAAGAUUAUGAAUAGGAAAAGAUGCGUACCUGAUCGUGUUACUUAUUCGGCGCUAAUCCAUGCCUAUAGUGAAAUUGGGAAUUGGUCAGCAGCCUACAGUUUAUUGAAGGAAAUGUUGAGUUUAGGGAUGUCUCCUCAUUUUCAUUUGUAUAGUUCAGUGGAUAAACUAAUGAGGGAACAUGGGCAAGUUGAUCUGUGUUUGAAGCUGGAAAUGAAAUGGGAAGCCCAAAUUUUGCAGAAGCUUUGUAAGCAAGGUCAACUGGAGGCUGCUUAUGAAAAGCUCAAGUCAAUGCUUGAAAAGGGCAUUCACCCUCCUACCUAUGUGAGAGAUGCUUUUGAGAACGCAUUUCAGAAGAACGGUAAGUAUAAGAUUGCUCGUGAGUUGCUGGAGAAGAUCGGAGUCCACAACCGUGAGGAGUCUGUAAUCAGACAUUCACCAUGAGUUAUCAAAUGGAAAUGUUCUCCUUUUAUUAUUGACGAAAUUGUGAGUAGAAAACUUCUCAUUCGCAAUAUGUUUGAUUGGCCAAAAUAAUUACAGAAACACAUGUUCCAUUGUGUUUAGAAGCUAAUGGGUUGACAUGGAAAUCUUAACAUGAUGCAUGUACAUUAAGUUUACUCCCAUUGGAUCUAAUUCUUUCUCAGAUUGAUCCUGGACUAACAAUCCAAAUUCUGUACAAAAUUCUUGAUGAAUUCCCUACCCUUCCAAGAAAAAAUGUAUGAACUGUGAAGUUGGAGAUUAUCCUGUGUUUGCUAAGCUCUCUUUUUUCCUGUAGACUCUGAAGUUUCAGUUGAAAGUGGCAAAAUUGCUUUGGGUUGGUUAUGUCCUGACAUCUGAAUAUACAUGUACAAAAUUUUAUCAUUGACAUAUUUCGAGCCUCGUCAAAUCUUUCGAAGCUCGAGCUUCUCUUGAAGGCUCUUUCAAGUUCCAGUGAAAGUCUACUUACCCAGCCAACCAAGAUCUGCACCCGAGUUUAAAAUGUUUACAUGAAGCAUUUGAACUAGCUUUGAGGAGGAUCACAUCAGUUAGAAUCACCUGCUUACAGAACUUCAUUUCGCCUUAUAAAAAUUGUAUAUCAUUGUCUUUUUAAGUUGAAUCCCAAUAACCUCAGUUUCUUCUUUCUACAGAAUACACCCAAGGACUUCAACAAUGGCAGCAAAAGGGAAAGAAGGCAAAAAGUUCCAACUAGUUUCAUAUUUCACGAAAAAGGAGCAGGAUGGACAGAAAAAGAAGAGGUAAGAGUGGUGGCUGAGAUUCAGUUUCUUGGAAAAAAAAACACCUGGUACAAAAGUUGACCUUUCCAGCCACCAGAGCAGUAAUCUUGUCAAAGUCAGACUGCAGAAUCUGAAAGCUCGAGAGCAGCGCGUGUUGUACUGAAAGCAUUUAAUCCUUAGCUCUUGAUGGCUUCAAUACAAAUAAAAUUCAAUGUAGAGACCCUUCUUGCACUCUCAACCCAAAUUUGGUCUGUUCUUGUAGGAGCAGUCAAGAAAAUUUCUAACAUCACUUCGGCUCUUGUCCCUUUGUGGGUGGUUUUGUAGACAAAAAUUUUCGAUAUUUUCAACACACGGUAAACUUUUCCUAAUACACUGAUCAGGAUUUGGUAAUUCAAGGUUUGACCUUAUCCAAGAUUAAGGCAAGAAAGUUUCAUGGUCUAAUUGUUUUUGUGCCCUUCUUUGAAACUAGAAGAUAUUUGAAGGAUGAUGUUGAAGCUGAAGAAUAUAUUGUAGUCUUGUCCAUACUUAAUAUGGUGUCCCUUAAGGUUGAAGAAGACCAGAUACUGAUCUAGAGGUCUCAAGUUUGAAUCUUUGACGAACUUAAUACCAAAAACCUUUGAUAUCUCCCGAGUCUAGACGUUGAGGUGGGUGUGGGUGCCUUUGGGUAUAGGGGAGCAAAGCUUCGACUUCCGGUUCUAAAAAAAAUAUAUAUAUAUAUAUAUAUCGAUCCCUGAGUGCUUUCUUCGUAAAUUUUUUACAUAACUCAUCUUUUUCUUUUCCAAAGGAAAUUUAUGCAGCUCGCUGGAAUUCGAAAGAGCCCCAAGAAAGUUAGUGUGCUUACUUAAGAUUAUUCUCAACGGCAAAGUUAAUACGGCUGAAGUUCUUCAAAAAAAGGCUUCCCACCAUGUCUCUUCAACCUUCAAUAUGUCGUCUAUGUUCCGAUAGUUGUGAAAGUCGAGCUCAUCUUUUUUUACUGUUCAUAUGCAGUGGUUUGUGGGGGUUUCUUAUUUCAACGAUUCGACAUUCAUUGCAUCUUGGCAUCGGAUAUUACAAAUAUUGUGUCUCAACUACUAUAUCUAGUAGUAAAGGUGGAGAUUUGAACUCAUUACAUUUCUUGUCAAUUACCAUCGAGCUAAUCAAAGCAGCUUUAUUAUUAGAAUUUA